rnacentral:rRNA from 1 species
CCAUCAGAUGUGCCCAGAUGGGAUUAGCUAGUUGGUGAGGUAACGGCUCACCAAGGCGACGAUCCCUAGCUGGUCUGAGAGGAUGACCAGCCACACUGGAACUGAGACACGGUCCAGACUCCUACGGGAGGCAGCAGUGGGGAAUAUUGCACAAUGGGCGCAAGCCUGAUGCAGCCAUGCCGCGUGUAUGAAGAAGGCCUUCGGGUUGUAAAGUACUUUCAGCGGGGAGGAAGGUGUUGUGGUUAAUAACC